UGCAGCGGAGAGUGGGCGGGGAAAGAGAGGCCCUAGAUCCCUGGCGAGGGUUCGACCCAAGCGGAAUUCCUCCUUGGGAGCCGCAUCCCACGCGGGAGGGUGCGGGGGAGACUCGAAAGCAGGCCUGGCCAUCAUUGGCUGUGCAGCCUCUGGCAAAGCGGAGAAAUAUUGGCUAUUUUAUUAUAAGCAGCACCACCCAGGAGAACUGGAAGGAAGCUAAUGCACAAAAACCUGAACUCCCCAAUAGUGUAUAGGUUACAGAUUAUAGAAGCAGCUGCAUCUCGCUCCGGAGCGGUCCCAGAGGAAAGGCUGAAGGGCGGCUGCAGGGGCUUCAUCCCAGGCACCUCCUAGGAACUGAAGUUCUGCCUUUGCCGUUUUUUUUUUUUGAGGAGAUGCCUCAGGGCUUUUUCAGCUCAAACACACAUCUUCCAUUAUUCCGGAUGGCAAUAAUGAUCUUUGAGCUGGCUCUAGCUGCUCACACGAUCUCUCUCCAUCCUGACAAUGACCUGCAUCUCCGUCACCUCUGUGUCCUUAGCAUCUAGCAUGAUGCCUGGAAUAUAGCGCUGCUCCAAGUUGUGUGUGAUGAACAAUCCUCUGAGUCCGGUAGAGGUGACUCCUUUGACUCCUGGCUCUUUGACUCUUGGUCUUAAAAUUAAACUUACUUUCUGUGUGUUUAUUUUAAAUAAAUAUUAAUGUGCAAUUAAAC